rnacentral:rRNA from 1 species
UAAGGAAUAUUGGUCAAUGGACGCAAGUCUGAACCAGCCAUGCCGCGUGAAGGAUUAAGGCCCUCUGGGUUGUAAACUUCUUUUAUAGGGGAAGAAAUGUGACGGUUCUCCGUCACUUGACGGUACCCUGGGAAUAAGCACCGGCUAACUCCGUGCCAGCAGCCGCGGUAAUACGGAGGGUGCAAGCGUUAUCCGGAUUCACUGGGUUUAAAGGGUGCGUAGGUGGGCAGAUAAGUCAGUGGUGAAAUCUUCCGGCUUAGCCGGGAAACUGCCGUUGAUACUAUUUGUCUUGAAUAUUGCGGAGGUAAGCGGAAUAUGUCAUGUAGCGGUGAAAUGCUUAGAUAUGACAUAGAACACCAAUUGCGAAGGCAGCUUACUACACAAUCAUUGACACUGAGGCACGAAAGCGUGGGUAGCGAACA